UACAGAGGUCCCAAGCGUUGUUCGGAUUCAUCGGGCGUAAAGGGUGCGUAGGUGGCGCUGUAAGUCGGGUGUGAAAUUUCGGAGCUUAACUCCGAAACUGCAUUCGAUACUGCGGUGCUUGAGGACUGGAGAGGAGACUGGAAUUCAUGGUGUAGCAGUGAAAUGCGUAGAGAUCAUGAGGAAGACCAGUGGCGAAGGCGGGUCUCUGGACAGUUCCUGACACUGAGGCACGAAGGCCAGGGGAGCAAACGGG
rnacentral:rRNA from 1 species